CUUUAUACCUGGAUUAUCCGAAAGUGGAGUUUCAGUCAGGUGUCGGUAUUCUUCAGGUAUGUCAGUGAAGUUUGCUUUUUGAUUGUGCGCUGAGCGUCGUUAAUGCGAUCUCGCUGACGGUGAUUUUAGCUGUUGAUUUUGAUUCGAACAAUUUGAUUUUGUCGGUUCAGGACAGAUUUGUUAUCGGUGUUACGAUAAACAGUGUAGAAAUCGUUUAUUUUCGUGUUGAGAGUGAUAUGUUGGACAGAAGUUUCUGAUUGGGUCAAUUCUUACUGUGAAAUAUCUGGCACAAGGAUGCCCCGAAUCGAGGAGCUGCACCACUACGACACGGGCGGCUCACCCUUACGCUCGCCCCCCUCAAGCCCCAACAGCAGCACGGCCAACAGCAACAGCAGCAUGGCCGCGGGGGUGUCCAGCGGGAGCACGAGCCCCUCGUCCCCCCGGCCCCCCGAUCUAACGCCAUCCAGACCGAGCGCCUUCUCUCUGGUGUACCCUAGGGAUCAGAAGACCAAGGAGUAUCUGAGCAAUAUGGGCGCUCUUAUGUACGCCAACUCAUUAAGGCGCAGUAUUCCUACUUACCCCCCUUAUCUGUGGUACCCCCUUCCGGGCCUGUUCCUACCCUAUAGCCCAGCAAAUAGACCGGAGUCGCUGAGUCCGGAUCAAGCUACAUCCAGCGAUGCCGUCUUCGUACCUGAAAAGGCCAAAGUGGAGGAAGACGCUCCCCUCAACCUAUCCCUGAAGGGCCGAUCUAGAACCCACGGCAUAUGGUCGCCGGGUACCGUUUGCGAGCAGGAGAUGAAGGACGUGCAGCGGAAGAACUUGCUGGGUGCGAGCGGUACCACGGUCACUCCGGACAAGGUCCUGGAUUCGAGGCUACGCUGGGAGCAGGAGAAAGAAGGCCAGGGCAGGGGUAGCAGCAGCGGCUCGUCGCCGGAGAAGCAGUUUACGUGUCAACAAUGUGGCAAGUCGUUUAAGAGAUCGUCAACACUGUCAACGCAUCUACUGAUUCACUCGGACACUAGGCCGUACCCUUGCCAAUACUGUGGCAAGAGAUUCCACCAAAAGUCUGAUAUGAAGAAGCACACGUAUAUUCAUACAGGCGAGAAACCGCACAAGUGCGUCGUCUGUACGAAAGCCUUCAGCCAAUCGUCCAAUCUGAUUACGCACAUGCGUAAACACACCGGCUACAAGCCCUUCUCGUGCGGGCUGUGCGAGAAAGCGUUCCAGAGAAAAGUGGACCUGAGGAGGCACAGGGAGUCGCAGCAUUCCUCCAUUCCAGAGGUGGUCAUCGACAGCAUGUUCCGCGCUGUCAAUCAGCUGAAAGCCAGUGUGAGUGGCGUGAAUGGACUCGGUAAUGGUGCUUAAAACUGGAAAUCUGAGUUGUCCAGGUCGAGGUUUACAUAAAUGUUUUGUUUAAAUUGACGAAUUUACGAUUUACACAAGUUUGGUCUAAUUGAAUCUGUACAUGCCAAUGAAAUAUGGUUUAAGAUUUAUGGCGUUUUCAAAUAACAACAGGCAGCAGAAUUGUCAUAGUAGCUGCUGCAUUUUUUAUCAGAAAUAGAAUUACUUACAUACAAGGAAUACACAAACCUUGUAAAGAAAAGUAUCUCAUUAGUACGUUGAAAAAUUUACAUAAGUUCUUAUUUUAACUGAAGAAUUACACAGAGUAAAACUUAGUUUUCUUAUCUUCUAUUGGUCAGUGAAGCAAAUGGCAUAGAUUUAAGAUUUAUAGCAUUUUUAAUCGACACCCUCUAGCGUCAGUGACAACACAGGACUGUGUAAUCGCGCGUAAAGUUGGAAAUUUGAAUUUUCAAGGCCGCAGUUUACAAAAAUGUUUCUUUAAAUUAACGAAUUUACACAAGUUUGGUCUAACUGUAACUGUACAUGCCAAUGAAAUAUGGUUUAACAAGAUUUAGCGCGUUUGCAAAUGACAACAGGCAGCCGAAUUAUCAGAGUAGGUACUGAAAAUCUACAUUGAUGAUUCGUGUCAAUUGCUACUACUUCUGUCUAAUUCUGUCUAAUUCUGCUACAUGUUGCCUACUAUUUAGUUUUAUCAAAUAUAGAAUUACAUCUACAAGAAAAACAAACCUUGUAAAGAAAAAUACGUUUUCAAAUUCUAUUGAUUCUCGAUACGUUGAAAAAUUUACAUAAGUGUCUAUUUUGACUGACCAAUUACACAGAGUAAACCUUAGUUUUCUUGUGUUCUAUAGAUCAAUAAAACAUGGCAUAGAUUUAAGAUUUAUAGCGUUUUCAAUCAAUACCAUCUACCGUCAGUGACAACUCUAGACUGAGUAAUGGCGCGUAAAAUUGGAAAUUUGAAUUUUCAAGGUUGCAGUUUACAAAAAUGCUAGUUUAAAUUGACGAAUUGGCAUAAGUUUGGUCUAAUUGUAUCUGCAUAUGCCAUAUAUCUACAUUGAUGAUUGGUGUCAACUGUUACUACAUAAGUUUGCUGUACAUCUACAAGGAAAUCAAAUCUUGUAAACAAAAACACGUUUUCUAAUUCUUUUGUUGCCUGUGAAGUUAAUAUACAUACAAAAUUACAUAAAUUUUUAUUUUAACUGACGAAUUACACAGAGUAAAACUUAGUUUUAAU
rnacentral:misc_RNA from 1 species